rnacentral:other from 18 species
UCAAGACUGGAGUAUGCGUUAUACUACCUUAAAUUCAACCGACAAUUUGUAUACGGGAGUUCGGGUCUUUUUAAAAUCAAUGACAAGCCUUAGUGUGCAGGAUUUGUACAUAUUCUGGUAGCCAGCGAAGAAAGCAGGACACCCACCUGAGUAAUCUCGGGACUGAAUUUGGGGAGGGACGGUAUUCCGGUUUUUAU